rnacentral:rRNA from 1 species
UACAGAGGUCCCGAGCGUUGUUCGGAUUCACUGGGCGUAAAGGGUGCGUAGGUGGUGAGGUAAGUCGGAUGUGAAAUCUCCGGGCUUAACCCGGAAAUGGCAUUGGAAACUACCUUGCUAGAGGAUUUGAGGGGGGAUUGGAAUACUUGGUGUAGCAGUGAAAUGCGUAGAUAUCGAGAGGAACACCAGUGGCGAAGGCGAGUCCCUGGACAACUUCUGACACUGAGGCACGAAAGCUAGGGGAGCAAACAGG